UACGGGGGGGGCAAGCGUUGUUCGGAAUUACUGGGCGUAAAGGGCUCGUAGGCGGCCAACUAAGUCAUACGUGAAAUCCCUCGGCUUAACCGGGGAACUGCGUCUGAUACUGGAUGGCUUGAGUUCGGGAGAGGGAUGCGGAAUUCCAGGUGUAGCGGUGAAAUGCGUAGAUAUCGAGAGGAACACCUGCGGCGAAGGCGGGUUGCUGGGCUGAUACUGACGCUGAGGCGCGAAAGCCAGGGGAGCGAACAGG
rnacentral:rRNA from 1 species